rnacentral:rRNA from 1 species
UACGUAGGGCGCAAGCGUUGUCCGGAUUUAUUGGGCGUAAAGAGCUCGUAGGCGGUUUGUCGCGUCUUCCGUGAAAACUGGGGGCUUAACUUCCAGCUUGCGGUGGAUACGGGCUGACUGGAGUGCGGCAGGGGAGACUGGAAUCCCUGGUGUAGCGGUGAAAUGCGUAGAGAUCGGGAGGAACACCAGUGGCGAAGGCGGCUACCUGGACCAGCACUGACACUGAGGCACGAAAGCGUGGGGAGCAAACAGG